UGAUCUCGAGAAGAAGCAGCGAUGCGCUGAGAGGUUUGGGGUCCCGUUUCAGCUUUCUGAAGAGGAGAAGCCCAGUUCUCGUGCGGAGCGACUUUUUUAGCAUAGUUCCUACUUCCCCUCAUCAGUCGUUGGCUCGUCAGAGGUGCGUGGAUGAGUGCAAGGCCGCGAUCAUUGCUCAGAUCAAAUUUUUCAAGGAAUCAAGUGAAGAAGAGCGAGAUCAUGCAGAGAAACUAAUGGAGUACUAGAACAAACGUGGAGGCAGAGUGAAGCUUCUGUCGAUAAUGACUCCCAAUACUGAGUAUGAUAACCCUGAGAAAGGAGAUGCACUAUAUGCAAUGGAGCUGGCCCUAUCUCUUGAGAAAAUUACAAAUGAGAAGCUCUUCAAUUUACACAGUGGGAUGAAGGAAACAAGAUUGAUGUUUUGAUGGGCUCACUAAAGUCAAAAAUAAGGACUUCGACAUAUUUCUCUCUCUCUCUGGUUAAGAUUCUCUAUAUAUGAAACUGAUUGUAAUAGGCUUUGUUGGUUAAGAUCAUCAAUAUGAAAUUAAUUGUAAUAGACUUUAUUGGUUAUGUAUGAAAUUGAUUGUAAUUAAUAGACUUUAUGACUGGAAAUGGAUUAUACUUUAUAUUAGGAAUAUCAUAAAUUUACUUUA